UCAACAGAAUCUCAGGGGUUUAC
rnacentral:siRNA from 1 species